UAAAGACUAUAAAAAAAAAGCUUUUGGCAAUUUUGUCACAAGUAAGAUUAAUGUAUAGAAAUCUUUCAAUCCUAAAAAUGUUCCCGAAAGAGCCAUCAAUACUGAUAAGAAUCGAUGCCCUGCGUUGAUGACCACUUCGCAGUAUGUAAUUUGGUGCGGAAACCGUUUACAGAACAAAGCUUAUCUUGAGCAAGAUAAUCACAAAUGAAUUAGAAAAGGCCACGGUUAAGCCAAAUUCACCAAAGAAGUUUUCCUAUUGCGAACCUGAAAGAGGACCUUUCGUAGCACGUGUUAAUACUUUGGACUUCCGACGAUAAUCUGGAAGCUAUUCAUAUAAUGAAAUUUACCCCGCUAUGAAAUGUUCUCUCUGCAUAUAUUUUUGCGUUCUAUACUUCUCUCUCAAUGUAAAGGAGUCCGGUAGAUUGCUUGUAUAGGCUUUUCGUCAUAUUAUUAGUACCAGUUACUUUCAGUAUAACAAAAAAAGCUAAACAUGCAAACGAAUGGUCCCCUUCUUUUGCUUGCUUCACUUUGCUUUUUUCCAUAGUAACACCAGUCUUCAUGCAGUAUUGCUUUGCAGCUUCUCUCUCGGGCGUCAAAUUGGUAACUCCAUAACAAAAGUUUACUUACAGUAGAAAAAGGGCGUGAUGUAUCCUUUUGCAUUUUUUUUAAUCUUUAAUAAUCCCUCUAGUUCGGUUGUAUACACUCCACCAACUAAUUAAUGCACCAGGAGCGGUGUGAGCCUAUGUAAUGGAAAUAACUUAAAAGCGCUAGCCGCCAGCUCCUGAAGCGCUCGUAUAAAUCUAAAGUAUUAAACUACGAUCUCCAUUUGAAAGUUGAGGGCCACACUUUUUCGAGCCAAGAAAAUUGCGAAAAGAUCAUAUAAAGGAUGUUUAAAAGCCCCGGCAGCUGAAAGAAAAUUUUUAAAAAUCUUUCUAAAGAUUUGAUUACCUUCUGGAUCAGUAACCUCUGA